UGCGUCGAACGAAUCCCAGUGCUGUAGCAAUACAGUGCUGGGGGAAGUGGCGAAAGGGGCAGUAAUGCGUGGGUAACCUACCCUGGGGAUCGGGAUAGCCGUCCUAACGGACGGGUAAUACCGGGCGAUGUAGCGAGACCGCAUGAUCUUGCUAUGAGAUGAAUUUCGCCUCGGGAGGGGCUCACGUGGCAUUAGCUAGUUGGUGGGGUAAUGGCCUACCAAGGCAAAGAUACCUAGCAGGUGUGAGAGCACGACCUGCGCCACUGGCACUGAGACACUGGCCAGACUCCUACGGGAGGCUGCAGUCGAGAAUCUUCGGCAAUGGGCGCAAGCCUGACCGAGCGACGCCGCGUGUGCGAUGAAGGCCUUCGGGUUGUAAAGCACUGUCGAGGGGGAGUAAGGCGCAAGCUUGAACUAUCCCUGGAGGAAGCACCGGCUAAAUACGUGCCAGCAGCCGCGGUAAUACGUAUGGUGCAAACGUUGUUCGGAAUCACUGGGCUUAAAGCGGGCGUAGGCGGUUUCAUAAGUCGGGUGUGAAAUUCCUCGGCUCAACCGAGGAACUGCGCCCGAUACUGUGUGGCUCGAGGGAGGUAGGGGCGCGUGGAACUUCCGGUGGAGCGGUGAUAUGCGUUGAUAUCGGAAGGAACGCCGGUGGCGAAAGCGACGCGCUGGACCUAUACUGACGCUGAGGCACGAAAGCUAGGGGAGCGAACGGGAUAGAUACCCCGGUAGUCCUAGCCCUAAACGAUGGGCACUGGUUGAGGAGGUUCCGAUGCUUUCUCAGCCGUAGCAAAAGUGUUAAGUGCUCCGCCUGGGGAGUAUGGUCGCAAGGCUGAAACUAAAAGGAAUUGUCGGGGGCUCACACAAGCGGUGGAGCAUGUGGCUUAAUUCGAGGCUACGCGUAGAACCUCACCUGGGUUUUGACAUGUGCGAAAGCGCUGGGAAGUAGCUGCUUGAAAGAGUUCGCCAACGGUAUCCAGUCCGGAACCCAGUACAGGUGCUGCAUGGCUGUCGUCAGCUCGUGUCGUGAGAUGUCGGGUUAAGUCCCAUAACGAGCGAAACCCUUGUCCACAGUUGCCAGCGGUUCGGCCGGGGACUCUGUGGAGACUGCCGGUGUUAAACCGGAGGAAGGUGGGGAUGACGUCAAGUCCUCAUGGCCUUUAUGUCCAGGGCUGCACACGUGCUACAAUGGCGUGAACAAAGGGACGCCAACUCGCGAGAGGGAGCAAAUCCCAAAAAACACGCCCCAGUUCAGAUCGGAGGCUGCAACUCGCCUCCGUGAAGGUGGAAUCGCUAGUAAUCGCAGGUCAGCAACACUGCGGUGAAUGUGUUCCUGAGCCUUGUACACACCGCCCGUCAAGCCACGAAAGCGGGGGACGUCCGAAGUCGCUGUGCCAACCUUCGG
rnacentral:rRNA from 1 species